rnacentral:lncRNA from 1 species
CAAUUACAUAGGGAUUAAGCUACUCACACAGGCAUACACGACAGAAGACAAACAGGGAUUCGAAUUUUGCUGACCUGGCAAAAGAAAAUGGAGGGAACGCUAAAGAAGCACGUGAGGGACUCGUGAUAGGGUUUAAAAUGGAAUAAGAAAACCCCAGACAUUCUCCAACCAUGUUCGUCCUCAAAUUAGAAGCUAAUCUGAAAUUGGAAACCUGGUCCCUGUUAAACGAGGUUCUCAAAAUAAUUUCCCAGGGAAGGUAGAACUCCGGCGAUAAAUCGAAAGCCACAGGUCCGACGUUUGACGACGAUGAACAGCGAUUUCCUUUUGCAUCCCCUUCCCCAUUUCAGUAAGCUUUUUUCUUUGGGUUUUCCAAAUUGUUAAAAUACAUUUGUAAUGUAUUAAUCCUUCAAGGUUUGAACGAACAUGUGUGUUAUUUUGAAGAUUAAAUUUUGAUGUACGUUAUUUUGAAGAACAGAGGACUGUUUCUCCCCCAAAUCACGCCCAAAUUGAAACCCUCACAAACGCAAAACGUUCUCCGGCCUCACCAUCUCCGACCACACUUCAGACGACGGUACCAUCGCCACUCAGACAGCACUUCCAUCGUGGGUUUGGAAUGAAGGUUAUUGUCGCUCUGGGGUCACUUCCGUCCAAAUUUCACCGUCAUCCUAGAUCACCAUCACUGAUCGACGACAAAGGUUAUGCUUUAAAAAUUUCCUGGUUUUGCACAAUUCAAAGUUGUUGUUUUUCGUUUUUUAUUUUAUUUUAUUUUUCACUAAAGCUUGUAUAGCCGAUAUUCGUGCGGUUUAUUUCCUCAUCAUGCUCCUUUUUUGGACUAGACUAAGAUAUUAUUGAAAAUUACUAUCACUUGUGCCUCUAUUUAUUUUCCAAUUCGCAAUUUUUUCUUUUCUGUUCAGUUGCUUGGCUACGUUGUGUUAGAAAAUUUUUUAUUCCAUCAGUUUUUCAACAUAUGGUUCAACUUAUAUGAUUAUAAAAAGAUGCAAAUUCUUGAGUUUUUUUUUUCCACUGAAGGUUGUCUGGCAGCAAAUGAAAGUUUUAAUCAUUUUAUUGCAGGAUCACUCUAUGAAAUUUCAGUUCGAAUUAUGCAUGUUAUUCAAUAUUUAGGUGGUUUCGUUAAUUGUUAUAGUGACAAUAAAUUCUGUUGAGCUAACCGUGCAGUUUAUUUCUAUCGUAGAAUGGGCGGAAAGAAUACUUAAAUGUGUCACAGUUGCAGAGCUAAGGUUCAUUUCUUUGCCUAAUAAUAUCCAAGGAAAUGUCAAUGCCCGGAAUGCAAGCAUGAAUUUGAGAAAUGUUUAGUGAUAGNAAGUCUUAGUCGCCUCACUUGUUCAAUGUAAUUUCGACAAUCCUUUUCCAUGCAACUCAUUUGCUCAUAACCACCUGCUUCUACAACUGCAGAAUUGUAGCUUUUAUGCAAUGGAAUUCCCGCCAAAUCAUUAACUUCAAGUUUGCGCUUCACAUGUGCACUCAAUUCUCGAUUACAUCGAUAUAACCUGGACUUCGAAGGACUAGUUUUGUGAUUAUGCUCGAGGUGGACCGUGUUAAUCCUCCAAACUCCAUAUAUAUCUGAAGAUGCUGAUAUCCUUGCUUUACAAUCCAUCUGAAUUGUUGGUUGCGGCCUCAAAGAACCACUAGUCUUACCAAUUCUUCGCCCUUCCCGGCCACAAGUCAACGUUACAUAUCUCAUCGCUCCAUCAUCCCCCUUUUUUGAAUUCCUUUUCUUCACUGGAAAACCGACGCCAUAAGCAUAUUUUUUGUAGAAGUCAAACAUUUCUGUCACAUCUUUAAACUCCAUUCCUACAGCGGGCACAAUCACUCCAUCUCUCACCGAGGUUACACCUUCCACUAUGUUAAUAGAGUCCGUGAUGUUCUCGUUGUCGGAUUCUGUCGUAACGUCAACAUGCUCAUUUUGCACUUCGUCCAUAAUUCCG